rnacentral:tRNA from 1 species
AAGGGAGACCUAAUUCAGGUAGGAGACGAAAAAAAAGUAGUCCCUACCAAGAAUCAAUCCCAAAAGGUCGGAGCGAGGCAAAAUUGGCUUUCAAACUAGGUUCUGGGUUCACACAAGACCUGAAUCAGGAACAAGGGCUAUUAGCUCAGGUGGUUAGAGCGCACCCCUGAUAAGGGUGAGGUCCCUGGUUCGAGUCCAGGAUGGCCCACCUGUACAGGUGGCAAAAACAAAGAAAAGAAGCGAGGAAUCAGCACCUUAUCUCACUUAUAUAGUAAGAGAGAAUGCUGGCUCUGAGUUCAGAGUCCAGAGGAACCUUGAAAACUGCAUAGAGCUAGGUGAAAAAGCCAAAAAAGAAGACCACAA